rnacentral:lncRNA from 1 species
AGCUAAAUUGAAACCCUGGACGCAAAUGCCUAAACGUUCCUCCCGACACUCAGAAAGUUUCAAACGAUUUAAAAGUAAGAAAUUUAAAUGAUUCGUUAAGAAAAAUUUGCUUUCUCCCAUAAGAAAAGCAUUGUUUCCGACAUUUCUGGUUUUCGCGGCAGUAAUGCUGACGUCAUGCGCAGAAGAUUCUCAUUUCGGUUUCGGGAAUGACUGACCUAUAUGGAUGGAUCUUGGUCGGUGUUCGCUAAAGUCGGUUGCAAUGUCUCGCGUUCUGUCGGAGUGAAGCCCUCAUGGCUGCAAGUGAUUUUCUUUUCAUGAAAGAUUUUAAGACUCUCUUACAUCGUAACUCGUUGCUUAUCUCGUUUGUUUCGCGAAAACUCUUCGGUGUAUAUGGUAACGAUCGUGUGAAGUAAUUCGUCGCUUGGAUUGAGUACUCCUCGAAAGUUACUAAUUUGUGCGUGGUGCCCGAGUGUACAUUGAAUGAAGGCAACUGAUGCCCAAAAUUACCAUCUAUUUUCGGAGUUUCAUCGUUUCGUCGUUUUCGGCAUUUACUUUUGCCGUGUGUUGCUCGGUGCCCCGUGUGUUUCGCGGAAAUCAUUCAGCCAUGUAAGUACAUGGAAACGAUCGUGUCUAUCAAUUUGUCAUUGAAUCCGGAAAAUGGCCGCCAUGACAGUUUCUCUUUCUCUCCAAAUUUUUGGUAAUUCGUGCCCGGCGUGUGAGUGAACUGGAUUUGGAUAACUGAUAUUUGAUAAAUCCUAAAUUUUCAUCGAUUUUCGUAGUUUCCAGUGUUUCGGUGUGCCUCUGUGAGCCUGUCUAUUUUAAUAUGAACAUAUUCGCGCGGGAUUUUCUUCAUUUUUCGGUGUGCUCAUGUAGACCCUUCGUGUGAGCCUGUCUAUUUUUCUAUGAACAUAUUCGCGCGGGAUUUUCUUCAGUGUUCAGUGCCGUUGAGGGAGGGGAGGGAUUCGGUAGUGAUGCUCGUCCCUUGUGUCGGCGUAUUUCUGUGUGUGCGUCGCGGCAAGUGUUACCUAGACAUAGUAUCGUCUGUGUGAGUGUGUGUCUGCGUCUCCUUCUCAAUCUACCUACCAGGAUUAUUUUGAUUAAUAUUUCCAUACCAUUUGAAGGAGUCGAUUAUCUGGUCAUAGCUUCCUUUGAUGCGUGUAUAUUUUGGCGUUGGUCUGGAUUCAGUGCGCAGUGCGAUUUCAGUGAAAGUGUGGUGUCGUGAGUGCUUACAGCUUGGCGUCGGGCAAUUGGAUAACUCUCUUCUGGAUUGAUAGCUGCGAGACUCUCAUAAGGUAUGUCAUUUUAAUUUUCUGGAUUCUUACUUGUCUGAGAGACUAACCUUCAAUUGUUACUAUCAAGAAGACUG